rnacentral:rRNA from 1 species
AAAGCGCACGCAGGCGGUCUGUCAAGUCGGAUGUGAAAUCCCCGGGCUCAACCUGGGAACUGCAUUCGAAACUGGCAGGCUAGAGUCUUGUAGAGGGGGGUAGAAUUCCAGGUGUAGCGGUGAAAUGCGUAGAGAUCUGGAGGAAUACCGGGUGGCGAAGCGGCCCCUGGACAAAGACUGACGCUCAGGUGCGAAAGCGUGGGGAGCAAACAGGUUAGACCCCCCCGCGGGUGGAAC